AAUGUUCAUUGUGUGGAUGUACUGCAGUUUCUCUGUUGAUUCAUUAGGACCUCUCGGUUCCUUCAGGUAUUUUUAAUGUAAUAUCAUUUCUUUUAAUUUUAUGUAUCUUUUGGAACAGGAUUCACAAUGUAGCUCAGGCUGGCCUCAAACUUUUGGUGAUCUAUCAUAGACCCUUGAAUGUAUAGAAUUUUUCAAAUAUUAAAUCACAUUAGGAAAAAGGUGUUUUGGAAAACGUUUAUCUCUUAAGUUUAUCUGUAAUAAUUGGAUAAAGAAGAUAUUUUAAAACUAAAUAAAAAUCAAAACAUAAAAAAUUUACUUUAUGUUCACGUGUAAAGAAUAAUCAGUUUCUCAGGGGCCUCCAAGAUGUGGCAAUAUGCUAUAGCAACUGCCUCAAUCCAAGUGGCUUUCAGUUUUUUCCUUUAUGUGACUUUCUGAAUCCUUGGGCUUUUGUUAGAGCAACAUAAGUAUUUAAAACUUGAUUGAGCAGAAGGGAAGUUGUGGUGCUGUUUGGAAGAGACCAGUGUCUUUCCAGCAUUGAUGAAUUCCUUUUUGCAAACAGAGCUCACUGAGUUUUAGAUCUGGCAGCUACAUACUGUAUUUCUAGUCUAACCUUACAGCCAGUGUGGAUACCAUGGUCAGUGGGAUGUGCAAAGGAGUGCCAUGUGUACAUAUACAAACUAGCUCACUCUGAUAUUUCUCUGGCCGAUGCCGACAGCUCUAGUAACCAAAACACCCACCGCCCAUUAGUGCUUCUGGAGGUUGGAGGUCUUAGAUUAGAAAUGAGAAAAACCAGGUUCUGGGGAGGGUUAUCUUGGUUGCCUUCUUGCUGUGUUUUCCUCUGUCAGAGCUAUGGCAAGAACACAUGCGUGUGCAUCUCGCACACUUUCUCAUCCAUCACAUUAGGGUUUAGGGCUUAUAUCUAGCAAUUUUGGUAAACCCAAACAAGCAUUCAGCCUGUAAUGUGCUGAUUCUUAGAGUGGAUGAUUCUUAUAGUCACUUCAAUUUAUUAAGAAAUCAUCCCAGCUCACAGGCUUAUUUUCGGUAAGUCAACUAACCUGUCUAGUUAUUAAUUUCAUCUUCUUUAGAAAGAUACAUUGACAUUUGUCUGGGUCCUAGGAUGACAACUCUAUAAAGUAUUAAAAUGUAUUCAUUCGUACGAUUCUGUUUGUAUGUGGUGUAUGCAUGUGCGCAUAUGGUAUGUGCAUGUCUAUGUGUGGAGGGCAAGAGGCUGACCCUGGGUGUCUUCUGAGAUUGCUAUGUACUUUAUUCGUUGCGGUGGGCGAGGGGAGCUCUCUUCCUGAACUGGAGCUCAUAAGUAGGCUAGACUUGGAACUCCCAAGGAUCCACUUGUCCCUUUCCCUCAGUGCUGGGUUACUGUGGAUGUGUGCCAUCACUGUCAGCUUUGGGGUGGAUGCUGGUGAUCCUAACGUGGAGCCUCAUGCUGGCUCAGCAGCCAUUUAACAACUGAGCCGUCUCCCUGCUCUGAAAUAGUUUCCUAAGGACUAACGCUAUAGUGACAUUUCCUUUUUUAGUAAGUAGAUACUUGAUAAUAGCUCUUGAUUUAAUCAUCUCUUUUUGUAACCAAGCUUAAUGCAUUUUAUUAACCUAUAAAAUUUGCAUUUGUGAAUAAUACUUGAAGAUUAGACAUACUGUUUAGGUAUUCUGUGAACACGAGACCAGACUAAUAAAAUUGGUAGUUUGGUUUUUUUUUUUUUUGUGCCUAGAAUAAAUGUUAACCAGGAUGCUUUCCGUUCUACUUUAUUAUUUUAAAUGUCUGUGUAUAUAGCCUUGGUGGCUGUAAUGAUCAGAAAUAGGUCUUUAGGAUGUUAAAGUUAUUCUUUUCUAUGUACAUGUAUCUCAUGUAUCUCGAUAAUAACAAUGAUUUUCAGAAUGAGUGCCACAGGGGCUCAAGGGGCAAUGACCCUUUUCUGCUCCAACCAAGAUGCUAUCACUUUGGAAUAGUUUCUAUAUUGAGAUUCCACAUACAACUUUAUUUUAGCCUCAUUGCCCCUCAAAAUUGGGACGUUGGAGAUCACCGAUUUCUGCUUAGACAGACAAACAGACACCCCUUUAUAAUGACAUAAUUUACCUAAAUUGUGUGAACCAUAUUCUUAGAAAGGUUGUAGAGUGAUGACUACCAGUCAUGUGACUUAUUGCUUGCAAAGUUAACCAUUGUAUAGUUUGAGAGCAUUUAAAAUACAUUGAAACAGAUAGUAGGGCUUUAGUGAUUGCUUCUGUGAGCCUAGUACACAUGCAGACUAUUUUUCUGCUGUAACAAAUGCUUUUCAGUGGAAUUGGAAGAUAGCACUCUUUAAAGAUGUUUUCUCAUCUUGCUUCCCCCCCCACCUCCCCCUUCCCCUAUUCUUUGGAGAAUUUGAGAUUUCAGUAUACAUGUUAAAUGAUAAGUGGAAGAAAGAAAAAUGGUGGAUAUAGCAAAUUAAUAUAGGAAUGUUAAAUGAUAUAAGAAAGGCACUGUAGGAAUUAGUUUCACUUUAAACAUUGUGACCAAUUAUUUAGUUUGAGCAAAACAAUAUAUCUAACAUAUUAAAUGAAGGCACAUAAUCUUUGAGUUAUUAUAAGUUUAAUUCUGGAUGGUUAUAAUGAAAUAAAUGUUGCAAUAUAGUGAAUCAUGUGUAUUUUUCCUAGGUUCCCAGAGCACAGUGUGAUUAUAUGUUUAUACAAUACUGUAUACGUGUACAAUUAUAAUUUUAAAUGUACAAUGAAACUAUUAUAAAAAUGUACAAUCAUAAUUAAAAACAUUUUACUGCUCCAAAGUGGUAACAG
rnacentral:lncRNA from 1 species